CUCAGAUCUAAGUACUUCACUGGAGUAAUGACAGCUGCCAUUAUACUUGUUUUAGUGUUAGAUUUUAGGAUAAAAAUGUUGAAUUAAACUGCUUAUAUGCAGGUGCAAUGAGUUUUAUGUCAAUGCAAAUGUAAUGUAUACAAGUAUAAUGCAUCUAUAAAACCAUGUAAAUUAUUUGGCUAAAGACUGUCCAUUAUUAUUAUUUUUUUUCUUAAAAUGAUAGCUCUGGGCACGGUGUGCCAGAUGCUUCCGGAUAAGCAGAGUUUUGCAUUCAAAUGCAGGAAAAUUAUUUAGUUGACAAAGUGUGAAGUGAAGGUCAAAUUCCUUAGGGAGAAACGUAUUUGCUAAAGAAAAUAAUCAAGGAUUUAUGUACAAUAAAAAAUAGCUCAGGCUCUGCAAAUAAUUUGGAUGAUAAAAUCUUUGCUCAAUUGGAUAAAGGAUCUUUUUGUAUAUUUAGGGCUCAAGCCUGGAGGGCGAGAGCCCUAUUGUUUUCCUUAGGAUUAUUUUUUAUUAUUAGGGCUCAAGCCUGGAGGGCGAGAGCCCUAUUGUUUUCCUUAGGAUUAUUUUUUAUUAUUAGGGCUCAAGCCUGGAGGGCGAGAGCCCUAUUGUUUUCCUUAGGAUUAUUUUUUAUUAUUAUUAUUAUUAUUAUUAUUAUUAUUAUUAUUAUUAUUAUUAUUAUUUUUUUCCAACGUCUCGGGGGCUUUUGGGGCCCUUAACAUACUCGAAAACUCUUGAAAAUUGGCACACACAUUGGAACCUGCGGCCAUUAGGGCCGGGCAGAGACUGAUACACGGGCGUGGCACAGGGGCUCUACAGCGCCCCCUGGAAUAUGGAGGGCCAUAUAUCAUACAUACUUGCACGUAGAGCGUAUGAAACUCGGUACACACAUAGAUCUCAUCAAGCCAAACAACUUUCGUACUGCAUGUCAUAGGCUCCGCCCAACAGGAAGUUGGCUAUUUAGGGUUUAGUAUUCUUAUUUUUCGUCAAAGUUGUGGGGGCUUUUGGGGCCCUUAACAUACUCAAAAACUCUUGAAAAUUUGCACACACCUUAGAAUCUGUGGCCAUUAGGAGGCUGCAGAGGCUGAGACCCGGGCGUGGCACAGGGGCUCUACGGCGCCCCCUGGAACACAGUCAGAAAUGUUGAUGUAUAGUUCAAACAUACUUGCACGUAUUCAUAUGAAACUCAGUACACAUAUAGAUCGCAUUGUGCCGAACAACUUUCGUAUUGCAUGUCACAGGCUCUGCCCAACAGGAAGUCAGCUAUUUAGAGCUAUGUAAAAAGCGCAUGCUCUGGAAUUUGAUAUACUUGUCAUAGGUUUUUUACCCGAUUGCCACCAAACUUGGUCAACAUGAUCUCAAGACAUUUGGGGAUGCAAAAUUGCCAGGGGAUUUUUUUGAUAUCUCGAACGGUUUGCUCGUGGCGAGGCGUUGAAAUUAUGGCGAGAAAUGAGAAACAGGAAGUGUCUAAUAACAUCCACAUACAUUUCCUGAUAUUUAAUUAAACUUCAUCAAUUUGUUCGUUGUAUGAUGCCGAUCGCAUAUAUGUGACUAUUAGGAGUCAAAAGUUAUAGCGCCACCA
ensembl:lncRNA